UUAUAGGAAGGGAAUGAAGUUCUCCCUAAGUAGUGAAUACUUGAACCGCUUAUUAAGCUGAUGACUUCUGUGUUAAG
rnacentral:ncRNA from 2 species